ACUCUUUGUUCUUGGUUUUAUGGCAACUUGGUUGAGAUUUGAGUGCACUGUUUGAUCAAAUACAAGGUAGUGCAACCAGCGAGAAAGAGAUCGGUAUCACUCAUGAGAUUCGAGGGCACUGUUUGAUCAAAUGCAAGGCCUGAGAUUGAGGCAUAUUACUUGGAAUUAAUCUUCUCCUGUCCAAUCUUGGGAUUAAUCUAGACAAGGAUGGCCCCCAAAGUCAUCAGGUACCAAGUUGAGAGCUGCAAGUUGUCUCUUUUCCAACA